AACGAACGCUGGCGGCAUGCCUAACACAUGCAAGUCGAACGAGACCUUCGGGUCUAGUGGCGCACGGGUGCGUAACGCGUGGGAAUCUGCCCUUGGGUUCGGGAUAACAGUUGGAAACGACUGCUAAUACCGGAUGAUGACUUCGGUCCAAAGAUUUAUCGCCCAGGGAUGAGCCCGCGUCGGAUUAGCUAGUUGGUGAGGUAAGAGCUCACCAAGGCGACGAUCCGUAGCUGGUCUGAGAGGAUGAUCAGCCACACUGGGACUGAGACACGGCCCAGACUCCUACGGGAGGCAGCAGUGGGGAAUAUUGACAAUGGGCGAAAGCCUGAUCCAGCAAUGCCGCGUGAGUGAUGAAGGCCUUAGGGUUGUAAAGCUCUUUUACCCGGGAUGAUAAUGACAGUACCGGGAGAAUAAGCCCCGGCUAACUCCGU
rnacentral:rRNA from 1 species